rnacentral:rRNA from 1 species
UACGUAGGGUGCGAGCGUUAAUCGGAAUUACUGGGCGUAAAGCGUGCGCAGGCGGCGCGUUAAGACAGGUGUGAAAGCCCCGAGCUUAACUUGGGAAUUGCACUUGUGACUGGCGUGCUGGAGUGUGGCAGAGGGAGGUGGAAUUCCACGUGUAGCAGUGAAAUGCGUAGAGAUGUGGAGGAACACCGAUGGCGAAGGCAGCCUCCUGGGCCAGCACUGACGCUCAUGCACGAAAGCGUGGGGAGCAAACAGG